GCCCGUGUGGCGCAAUUGGUUAGCGUUUCCGACUUUUAAUCGGGCGGUUGCGGGUUCGAGCCCCGCCAUGGGCU
rnacentral:tRNA from 1 species